GGAUAACCUGCCCUUAGGUCUGGCAUAACCCCGGGAAACUGGGGAUAAUUCCGGAUAGGUCAUGGAUGCUGGAAUGCACCGUGAUCCAAAGCUUUUGUGCCUAAGGAUGGGUCUGCGGUCUAUCAGGUCGUAGUGGGUGUAAAGUACCUACUAGCCUACGACGGAUACGGGUUGUGAGAGCAAGAGCCCGGAGAUGGAUUCUGAGACAUGAAUCCAGGCCCUACGGGGCGCAGCAGGCGCGAAAACUUUACACUGCGGGAAACCGCGAUAAGGGAACACCGAGUGCCAGCAUCCUAUGUUGGCUGUCCACAUGUGUAAAUAACAUGUGUUAGCAAGGGCCGGGCAAGACCGGUGCCAGCCGCCGCGGUAACACCGGCGGCCCGAGUGGUGGCCACUAUUAUUGGGUCUAAAGGGUCCGUAGCCGGUUUGGUCAGUCCUCCGGGAAAUCUGAUAGCUUAACUAUUAGGCUUUCGGGGGAUACUGCCAGACUUGGAACCGGGAGAGGUAAGAGGUACUACAGGGGUAGGAGUGAAAUCUUGUAAUCCCUGUGGGACCACCUGUGGCGAAGGCGUCUUACCAGAACGGGUUCGACGGUGAGGGACGAAAGCUGGGGGCACGAACCGGAUUAGAUACCCGGGUAGUCCCAGCCGUAAACGAUGCUCGCUAGGUGUCAGGCAUGGCGCGACCGUGUCUGGUGCCGCAGGGAAGCCGUGAAGCGAGCCACCUGGGAAGUACGGCCGCAAGGCUGAAACUUAA
rnacentral:rRNA from 1 species